CGCCUUGAACUUAGGACCGACUAACUCGUGAUCAACCACUGUUCACACGAAACCCUUCUCCACUUCAGUCCUCCAAGGUCUCAUUCGAUUAUUUGCUACUACCACCAAGAUCUGUGCCAAUGGCAGCUCCAUGCAGGCUUACGCCAAACACUUCUACGCUUACCAUUGUACCUUCCUACUCACUAAAGUUUCAAAAUUUAUAUCACAAGUAAUAUAAAUCAUCUACUUUAGNACACAACAGUAUAUGUCAUGCUCUUCUAGCCCAUCUACCAUAUCUCUCUGCGAAAGACUUCCAUGGUAGUACGGCUAUAAAACAGAAAAGAAAACUCUUCCGAUAUCUCUCGACGGCUUCUUUAUGGUCGUUCCUGUUGCCAGGAUGAGCACGAGGCCCAUAUUUAAUAACAAACGGAUACUCAACAGGUUACGGAAUUAGAACCGUAUUCCCUUUCGUUCAAAAUUAUUCAAGUGUUUCAAAAAAAUCAUUAAAGAUUUGACAAUAUAUGCUUAUUGAUUUUUUACUUGAAAAUUUUCGGCUUUCGCCUUGAACUUAGGACCGACUAACUCGUGAUCAACCACUGUUCACACGAAACCCUUCUCCACUUCAGUCCUUCAAGGUCUCAUUCGAUUAUUUGCUACUACCACCAAGAUCUGUGCCAAUGGCAGCUCCAUGCAGGCUUACGCCAAACACUUCUACGCUUACCAUUGUACCUUCCUACUCACUAAAGUUUCAAAAUUUAUAUCACAAGUAAUAUAAAUCAUCUACUUUAGCGGUAAUGUAUAGGUAUACAACUUAAGCGCCAUCCAUUUUANCUCCUUAGCGGAUUUCGACUUCCAUGAUCACCGUCCUGCUGUUUUAAGCAACCAACGCCUUUCAUGGUUUCUGCAUGAGUUGUUAAUUUGGGCACCGUAACAUUACGUUUGGUUCAUCCCACAGCGCCAGUUCUGCUUACCAAAAGUGGCCCACUGGGCACAUUAUAUCAUAACCUUAAACUUCAUAUCAAGAAAGUUAAGGUUCUUACCCAUUUAAAGUUUGAGAAUAGGUUAAGAUCGUUUCGACCCUAAGGCCUCUAAUCAUUCGCUUUACCAGAUAAGAUUAUUUUAUAUAACAUUAAAAUGCACCAGCUAUCCUGAGGGAAACUUCGGAAGGAACCAGCUACUAGAUGGUUCGAUUGGUCUUUCGCCCCUAUACUCAAUUCUGACAAUCGAUUUGCACGUCAGAACUGUUUCGGUCUUCCAUCAGGGUUUCCCCUGACUUCAACCUGAUCAAGUAUAGUUCACCAUCUUUCGGGUCACAGCAUAUAUGCUCAAGGUACGUUCCAGUUAGAGGCAUAAAUAAUAUAAAUAUUAUUAUACAUAACUAUAUAGAACGCCCCGGGAUUGUGUUAAUUAUCUAUAAAUAGUUAAAAAACUAAUCCCAUUAUUAGUCAAGUUA
rnacentral:lncRNA from 1 species